GUGUGCUGUGCACAGUUCUUCGGCCUUUGUUUCUAAGUGGCUGGUUCGGCUACCUAUGGCCGUGAUAUCUUUCCUCAGGUCCACUGUGAUUUGCGUGAAGUCCACUCUAAAGGAAGUUUUUAAGUCCUGCAGCAUUACGUGCAGACUUUUGUUUGUGACCGGUGUGUCUUCUGUUGACCCAGGCACGAGAUCCAGCUUAGUUGGACCCACCGAGAAAGGUGAGUUAACCGUGCUUUCAUCUCCAUCUUG